ACAACAUUUAGAUUUGAAAUUUUCAAAGAGACAGCAUUUCGACCGAAGAGCUGACAACAGCCUGAAGCAACCAAUUCUUCUUCAACAAAGCGAGUUGCCCUACACCCGUAGUUAGCAUGGCAAAGGAAGAAAUGUUUGAAAACAACAGCUUUUUUCAUAAACUUGUAAAAAGACAAGGGUGUAACAAGCCAUGCAAUGGUGUACAUGACCCCAG